rnacentral:rRNA from 1 species
AGAGUUUGAUCCUGGCUCAGGACGAACGCUGGCGGCGUGCUUAACACAUGCAAGUGGAGCGACGAACCAGGCUUCGGCCUGGGGCAGAGCCGCGAACGGGUGAGUAACACGUGGGUAACCUGCCCUGAUGACCGGGACAACCCGAGGAAACUCGGGCUAAUACCGGAUGCGCACACCCCACAUCAGUGGGAUGUGUAAAGGUAGCUUCGGCCUCCGCAUCAGGAUGGGCCCGCGGCCCAUUAGCUUGUUGGUGAGGUAACGGCUCACCAAGGCGACGAUGGGUAGCUGGUCUGAGAGGACGAUCAGCCACACUGGGACUGAGACACGGCCCAGACUCCUACGGGAGGCAGCAGUGGGGAAUCUUGCGCAGUGCGCGAAAGCGUGACGCAGCAACGCCGCGUGGGGGAAGACGGCCUUCGGGUUGUAAACCUCUUUCAGUUGGGACGAAGCCUUGGCGGUUAAUAGCCGCACGAGGUGACGGUACCUUCAGAAGAAGCCCCGGCUAACUACGUGCCAGCAGCCGCGGUAAUACGUAGGGGGCAAGCGUUGUCCGGAAUCAUGGGGCGUAAAGAGCGCGUAGGCGGUCCGGUAAGUCUGCUGUGAAAGUCACGGGCUCAGCCCCUNGGAUGCACGGUGGGAUACUGCCGGGGCUAGAGUUCCGGAAGAGGCGAGUGGAAUUCCUGGUGUAGCGGUGAAAUGCGCAAAUAUCAGGAAGACAGCCAUUGCGAAGGCAGCUCGCUAGGACGGUCCUGACACUGAGGCCCGAAGCCGUGGGGAACAACAUGAUGGAAUACCCUGGUAUUCAU